AGAGUUUGAUCAUGGCUCAGGAUGAACGCUAGCUACAGGCUUAACACAUGCAAGUCGAGGGGAAACGAUAGAGAAAGCUUGCUUUUUCUAGGCGUCGACCGGCGCACGGGUGAGUAACGCGUAUCCAACCUGCCCACCACUUGGGGAUAACCUUGCGAAAGUAAGACUAAUACCCAAUGACGUCUCUAGAAGACAUCUGAAAGGGAUUAAAGAUUUAUCGGUGAUGGAUGGGGAUGCGUCUGAUUAGCUUGUUGGCGGGGUAACGGCCCACCAAGGCAACGAUCAGUAGGGGUUCUGAGAGGAAGGUCCCCCACAUUGGAACUGAGACACGGUCCAAACUCCUACGGGAGGCAGCAGUGAGGAAUAUUGGUCAAUGGGCGAGAGCCUGAACCAGCCAAGUAGCGUGCAGGAUGACGGCCCUAUGGGUUGUAAACUGCUUUUAUAAGGGAAUAAAGUGAGUCUCGUGAGGCUUUUUGCAUGUACCUUAUGAAUAAGGACCGGCUAAUUCCGUGCCAGCAGCCGCGGUAAUACGGAAGGUCCGGGCGUUAUCCGGAUUUAUUGGGUUUAAAGGGAGCGUAGGCCGGAGAUUAAGCGUGUUGUGAAAUGUAGAUGCUCAACAUCUGCACUGCAGCGCGAACUGGUUUCCUUGAGUACGCACAAAGUGGGCGGAAUUCGUGGUGUAGCGGUGAAAUGCUUAGAUAUCACGAAGAACUCCGAUUGCGAAGGCAGCUCACUGGAGCGCAACUGACGCUGAAGCUCGAAAGUGCGGGUAUCGAACAGGAUUAGAUACCCUGGUAGUCCGCACGGUAAACGAUGGAUGCCCGCUGUUGGUCUGAAUAGGUCAGCGGCCAAGCGAAAGCAUUAAGCAUCCCACCUGGGGA
rnacentral:rRNA from 1 species